GGCUGGGUAGCUCAGUGGUUAGAGCACCUGGUAUAUAUCCGGGGGUGGCCUGGUUUCAAAUCCUACUCUGGUCA